AGUGUUGGGAUUACAGGCGUGAGUCCACCGCACCUGGCCCUAUUAUUUUUAAGAGACAUUUAUCUCUCUUACAUAUUCAGUAUUUCUGUUAAAGUUUCACUGAGAAGAGGCCUCCGUUGAUUCAUGCAGUUAUUAACACUGACUAAUCAUUGCUGAGCGGUUAGGUUGCAUGGUGCAGGCUGUGUGUGCACACAUCUCAUCCAGUUCUCAAAGCAACCCUGAGGGACAGGCCUGUACCCACCAGUUGGACAGGGCUCAGAGACUAAGCGGCUUCCCAGGAAUGAGACUGUGCAUGGCAGAGCCCCGGCUUGGACAGGAGCAUGUUACCUUCCCCACUGAGUGUCAGUCUCUCAGUCAGCAGGCGGCUGCUUUGAAUGUCGUAUGACAAUUGUGUUUAUGGCAGGAGUUCCUGACAUAGAAAUUCACUUUUCCAUAAACCCCAAGGGUCUCCCAUGCAGUGGUGAUCACAGGCUCUAGGGUCGAUGGGUUGACCACUCUGGCACAUUCCCAGGCCAUGUUGGGAAUGGCCGAAUGCUGGCACAGCCUGUAUUUCUCUCAAUGAGACAAUUUUACAACAAAUGAAAUAAAUAGCUCUAUGUGUCAGAACCUCAGGAAGCAGGUGGUUUCAAACUUUAGGUUUUGAGAUAUAAAUCCAGACAUUUUGAGAACCAACAAGAGAAGCAGGCCGCCCAAUUCCUCUACUGUGAAGGCUCUCAUGGGGUAGAGCUGCUCUCUCCCCUCUGCCGCCAGCCCUCUUGUCCACUGGGCACUGGCACCAGGAAGACCGUGGGGCACAGAGGCCCCCACCAGGACUUCACACCAGCAUCAUCGGGGCCUUACGCUCUAGCCCUGGCCUUUUACUGGAACCUCCAUUUGCUCCUCAGUGUGUCCUCUGGGGUCACCUUGCUGGGGUGGUCUCAGUCUGGGGAACUGAUUGUCACCCUCCUGGUCAGAGGGGUCAUCCUGGGAACUAUGCCCUGCUCCUAAGACAACCUCUAAUUCACCCCAAUUCAACUCUUUUUUAGUCUCGUCUUAGGCCAGACUACUGCAUUAUAUAACUACUGUUGAAAUUUGAGUUGUGCAUAAAACAGUUGCUCAAUCGUUUUUCAGUAUGAGUUCCACUGUCACUUCUGUUCCAGUUUUCACCUCAGCUAGAGCUCUGAUUCUCUUGUCUGUGGUUAUAUGGCACAGGCAGCUGUGUCUGCAGAGAGCUGUGUCCCAACUGGAGGUUGUGUGUCAGCCUGAGCUGUUGAUCAUGUGGUCCGGUCCCCGUCCCCGUGCACAUGUACACGGAGAGGUGUCUGGCCUUUGGGUUCUUCCAGGAUCUGGGUAACCUGGAUUAUUUUUUAAAAGUCAAACAAGUCACAUAGUGUUUCCCCUACAUAACAGGAAUGUUAUGGCAUGUGCGUGGAUGGGACUGCUCUGACCAUGCUCUGUGGUCACAGACUCCUUCCUGUCACUGAUCUGGCCCUUGAUGUUGGGGCAGGGGGAUGUCACAGGUAAAUUUCAGGCAGUCUGUUUAAGGUCAGCACCUUUUCCUGCUGAGGCCAUUUGUUUAUCCAGGUAGACAAGACAGCCUUUUUUUAUAAACACUUGGCUUCUGGCAGGUACCAUCCAACUCAGGGGUGUUCAGAAGGCAGGUCACCUAUUAGAAUUGAAUCUCUGGGAGAUGAGAGGCUGUGGUGAGUUUAAUUAUAGCUGGUUGUUCAAAAUAUGGGAUCUAGUGAUCCUAAGCUAUUAAUACAAAAGUUUUAAAGAAAGAAGGAUAUUUAAGGAAUUGGGAUAAUAUUGAUCCAUAUUUUUUCCUAAAUGAGAAGUAGAUUUGGCCUCUUCUGGGGACGCUAUCUGCAGACACUCAGGAUGGUCCAGCGUUUGACGUAUCAUCGUAGGCUUUCCUACAGUACUACCUCUAACAAAACUAGGCUGUCCCGAACCCCUGGUAAUAGAAUUGUGUACCUUUAUACCAAGAAGGUUGGGAAAGCACCAAAAUCUGCACGUGGCGUGUGCCCAGGCAGACUUCGAGGGGUUUGCGCUGUGAGACCUAAAAGUUCUUACGAGGUUGUCUAAAACAAAGAGACAUGUCAGCGGGGCCUAUGGGGGUUCCGUGUGUGCUAAAUGUGUUCCUGACAGGAUCGAGUGUGCUUUCCUUAUCGAGGAGCAGAAAAUCAUUGUGAAGGUGUUGAAGGCACAAGCACAGAGUCAGAAAGCUAAAUAAGAAAUGAAGCUUUUUGAGUAAUAAAAAUUAAAAGGCUUAUUCUGUGGGGGGAGGGAGGGAAGAAGUAGAUUUGGAAUUUUCUGGAUCCAAGGUCCUAGUUCCUGCAUUUUUUCCACUGGUCCUUAUCAGCAUAUUUCAUUUUAGAAAAGAAAAAUAAAUGUUAGAGUUGCUAAGUUUAAAUUAUUAGUAGAAAAUUCCCUACCUCAGAGAUUAAAACCAGCAUAACGGUAAGAUCACGUCCCCUAAGGUAUGAGUAGGACGAGGCCCUCAGGACACUGGCACUUGCUCAGCAGGGAGAGGCCAGGCAGUGAGGGAGGCACUGCUCCCUCGCAGAGGACGGGCCAGGCCCGGGCUCACCAGUCACAGUCUGUCGCAGGGUCAUCUCUGGCAGAUUCUCUUUGGAAUAAGAAUAGAAAUUAAUUUUGCAUCCAAAAUUGGUUAAAUUAUUCUGAAAUUCAAACAUGUUAAACCUGGGCCUGUGAUCAGCCCCGGUCAUAGUCACCUCCCUUCGUCCUCUUUUGGAGAGGAUUGUGGACAAGGAUGAAGACACAUGUGGUCAUGAGCCCUUCCUGCUUUCUUGGAGAGUGCCCUGAGAAGCCCCUGCAGCCUUUUGGGGGCAGCCGGUGGGAAGGCUGACCAGGCUGCCGUCCAGGAAGGGAAGGCUCAUGGCGUCGGAAGCUCUGUACCACCUUCUUCUUGUGU